GACCCCCAAUAUUGUGUGGACUAUGGAAACCUCCCUGAGAUUCAGUAAUCCAUGAUUAAACUUUAAUGAACACAUGAAUCCCCUGGGGAUCUUGUUAAAAGGCAGAUUCAGAUUCAGCAGGUCUAGGAUGGAGGGAAGAAGACAGGAAGCAGAUUUCCACCUCUACUCUUGAGCCUCCCUCUUAAAUGAUGCUUGGGGCAACAACCCUCCAAAAUUAGGUACCAUUCAGUACCAAUCCCUUUGGUAACCACUGUAAUAACAUUAACAUGAUGAACUAAUGAGAUAUUAA